rnacentral:rRNA from 1 species
UACGUAGGGCGCAAGCGUUGUCCGGAAUUAUUGGGCGUAAAAGAGCUCGUAGGCGGUUUGUCGCGUCUGACCUGUGGAAAACCUAAGGCGUACAACCUUGGGCUUGCAGUGGGGUACGGGCGAGACUAGAGUGAUGUAGGGGAGACUGGAAUUCCUGGGUGUAGCGGUGAAAUGCGCCAGAUAUCAGGAGGAACACCGAGUGGCGAAGGCAGGAUCGUCUGGGGCAUUAACUGACGCUGAGGAGCGAAAGCAUGGGGAGCGAACAGG